AUUGAACGCUGGCGGCAGGCCUAACACAUGCAAGUCGCACGAGUGGCGGACGGGUGAGUAAUGUCUGGGAAACUGCCUGAUGGAGGGGGAUAACUACUGGAAACGGUAGCUAAUACCGCAUACCAUCGGAUGUGCCCAGAUGGGCUUAGCUAGUCGGUGGGGUAAAGGCUCACCUAGGCGACGAUCCCUAGCUGGUAUGAGAGGAUGACCAGACAAACUGGAACUGAGAAACGGUCCAGACUACUACGGGAGGCAGCAGUGGGGAAUAGUGCACAAUGGGCGCAAGCCUUCUGCAGCGAUGCCGCGUGUAGGAAGAAGGCCUUCGGGUUGUAAAGUACUUUCAGCUGGGAGGCGUUACCCGCAGAAGAAGCACCGGCUAACUCCGUGCCAGCCGCCGCGGUAAUUC
rnacentral:rRNA from 1 species